GCACACUACAAAAAUUUCAUAAUGCAGCCGCAUGGUAAUUGUGUGUGAUUGCAUUAUGAAAAUUCUUGUAGUAUGUGU
rnacentral:pre_miRNA from 1 species